rnacentral:rRNA from 1 species
CACGUAGGGGGCGAGCGUUGUCCGGAUUUAUUGGGCGUAAAGAGCUCGUAGGCGGUGUGUCACGUCGGCCGUGAAAACCUGCAGCUUAACUGUGGGCGUGCGGUCGAUACGGGCAUCACUGGAGUUCGGCAGGGGAGACUGGAAUUCCUGGUGUAGCGGUGAAAUGCGCAGAUAUCAGGAGGAACACCGGUGGCGAAGGCGGGUCUCUGGGCCGAUACUGACGCUGAGGUGCGAAAGCGUGGGGAGCAAACAGG